rnacentral:rRNA from 1 species
CCNGGCUGCCCAGAGACAAAGUUUAACGGCCGCGGUACCCUAACCGUGCGAAGGUAGCAUAAUCACUUGUUCUUUAAAUAGGGACUCGUAUCAACGGCAUCACGAGGGCUAUACUGUCUCCUUUCUCCAAUCAGUGAAGCUGAUCUUCCCGUGAAGAAGCGGGAAUUAUUGUAUAAGACGAGAAGACCCCAUGGAGCUUUAAACUCAAUAUAUACCUCUACGCAUUUAUAUCACUAUAGCCUAAGAAAAUUAUAUAUUAGUUUUGGGUUGGGGGGACCGCGGAGAAAAAAUUAACCUCCACGACAAAUAGGCCAACGCCUUUAUCUAUGAACCACAAUUCUAAGAAUCAAUAAACUGAUGUUUAAUGAUCCAAUUUUUUGAUCAACGAACCAAGUUACCCUGGGGAUAACAGCGCAAUCUACUUCAAGAGCUCCUAUCGACAAGUGGGUUUACGACCUCGAUGUUGGAUCAGGGUAUCCUAGUGGUGCAGCCGCUACUAAAGGUUCGUUUGUUCAACGAUUAAAACCCUACGUGAUCU